rnacentral:rRNA from 1 species
GACGAACGCUGGCGGCGUGCCUAAUACAUGCAAGUUGAGCGCUGAAGGUUGGUACUUGUACCAACUGGAUGAGCAGCGAACGGGUGAGUAACGCGUGGGGAAUCUGCCUUUGAGCGGGGGACAACAUUUGGAAACGAAUGCUAAUACCGCAUAAAAACUUUAAACACAAGUUUUAAGUUUGAAAGAUGCAAUUGCAUCACUCAAAGAUGAUCCCGCGUUGUAUUAGCUAGUUGGUGAGGUAAAGGCUCACCAAGGCGAUGAUACAUAGCCGACCUGAGAGGGUGAUCAGCCACAUUGGGACGGAGACACGGCCCAAACUCCUACGGGAGGCAGCAGUAGGGAAUCGUCGGCAAUGGACGAAAGUCUGACCGAGCAACGCCGCGUGAGGGAAGAAGGUUGUCAGGUCGUAAAACUCUGUUGGUAGAGAAGAACGUUGGUGAGAGUGGAAAGCUCAUCAAGUGACGGUAACUACCCAGAAAGGAACGGCUAACUACGUG